rnacentral:lncRNA from 1 species
CGCUAUAAGAGAACGGUUUGAGACGCGGAAGAAGUUACUUCGACUUCAACCGCCGCGGUAGCUGACCAUUCUGCUUUUCGACCAAUAGCCACGCUCCAUCAUUUUACGUCAGAUUUGAAUACAGCCGCUCGAUCGAUUAUUGAUAACGUAGAACAGAAACUUUUUACUUUAUUUUCCAUCAUAAUGGUAGAGUAUACAACAAUCGAAAUGUUGGCACUCUGUCUAUUGAAAUAUGGGCAGUUUUUACAGGUUUUCCGUAUUGCACUUUCGAGAUUACCGCGUAAGUGUGAACUGAUGAGCGGGUUUUCGGCGACGGAAAAGUAAAGCGCUAAAACAUCGCUACCGUUAAGGUUGUGAGAACCAAUCUUAACGAUAACGCUUGUGUCGCAUUUCGGUUAUUCCUGACAGCGAAAGGCUCCACGAUUAUUAUCAAUUUGAGAAAAAUUAUCUUAUCCAUCGAAAAAAAUCAAUCUUUACAAGUGCAAUCGGAACGAGAACACAAAAUAUCGAAUGAAGAACUCGAACAUGUAGCGACCGCCAUAGUGAAAGCUACAGAUGCUGCACGCGGAUGUAAUAGUGCUCGGACAUUAUUCGGGCAACUGGAUAUGCCAAUUCAGCUGUGUGAAAAAGCUUCCACAAAUUCGCUUGCACUUUUCUCAUUUGUUCCUAGCUGGGAUGGUCGCGUGGUAACGCGUUUGCAUGCCACGCAGUCUCUUCCCUAUCGACCGGAGCCAGAUGGUUCCAUCUUUUAAUAUUUCUGUAUGGUAGGUAACCAACCUGUUGACACUGAGUAACGGUCGAGUCUCUCUUAUUGGAUAAACAGUCUCAUCCAGAAGGAUAGCAGUAAUGGCUAACUCUCGGGGUGAAAAAUUUAAUACCAUUUUCUAUAGCGCACUAGUAACUACGUAUAGCCCGGAGACCGAUUUCAGACUUACUGGUGAGAGAAUAUUUGAACAGGUGGCAAAAUGAUCGGACUGAGAGCGGAAGAGAUCGAAUGGUGAGCCACUGGAUAGUGUGGAUCGGACCUAACACCCGACGUGAGAUAAAUCUGUGGAGAUGGCUGCGUUCCGCAGUGGAAAAUGCGGUUGGAGGACUCCGAGUUCGUGUGCCAGGUCCGGCAUCUCUUGAAAAAUUUUUUUCGGGAUUCCGAGCCCGGCCGGUCAUUCCCGUCCUUCACCAUCAGCUCCACACCAGUGGAGCUGAUGGUACAACUUGUGGUUAGAACUGGUUCCACACCUUAGUAAUCCGAUUAAAAAGGGCCGUAAAACAGCAAAAUAAGCUCGGAUGAAAGUGGACGAUGCCUGGUGUUGGAAAUCUUAUGGACCGAUGAGGUCCAUUUUUAUCUCCAUGGCUUUGUCAGUGCACACUCGUACACAGUCAGUCACAACGUUCCGCAGUGGAAAAUGCGGUUCAUAGAAUGCAGUUUUAUGGAAAAUGUGCGAGGAUAACAUUGAACCGUAUUUGUAAUCGAAUCAGAAUAAAAAACUAUUGUCAACCGUGAUCUUUUUAUUCGCUUUAUUACGUCGUCUUAACACCGCAUAGAUGGGCAUUUUCCCCCUAGUGAUGCAUUUCGGAAUUACUUUCUUUAUCGAAAUCGAAUUUCCAUACUCUGAAAAGUACGCCCAGCAAAUUUGACCGAGUUUGAUCCAACAUAUUGUUGGUUAUCGGGCUCUAAACAUCUCUAAUUAUGGCCACCUUGUAUAGGGGGUGGUGGUGUUGCGUCCCGUAAUAGAAGCCAUAUUUAUUUCUAAAAUAUAUUUACUCCUUCUCGAUUUUAUUAUUAAAAAUAUGCGGCCAUCUACGGUUAUGCCUUGUUUAUCUGAACAGAAAAUACUGAUGUGUCGGGCACUCGGUAAAUAAUAUGGGAAAUGUCAGUGUGACCGCAGCCGUUACAUCAUCAGUUAAUAUAAAUGGAAUGUAGCCAUCCCCAUAUUUCUGAUGGAGAGUUGACGCGUUUCUGAUCAUUAACGGGGAUGAUUGUUUUGCAGCCGAUUUUCCAUAUCAGAUUUGCCCUCCCAGCCAUGGCCCGAUUUUCCAUUUCCAUCGAAUGUUUUUUUUUUCUGAUUUUUUUAUCAUUUAAACUCGAUUAAAUAUUUUUAUUAAGAUUGGAAAAUGACGG